UACGGAGGGUGCGAGCGUUGUCCGGAAUCACUGGGCGUAAAGGGCGCGUAGGCGGCCUGGCAAGUCGGUGGUGAAAGCUCGGGGCUUUAACUCCGAGUCGGCCAUCGAUACUGCUAUGGCUCGAGUCGACUAGAGGCAGAUGGAAUUCCGGGUGUAGCGGUGGAAUGCGUAGAGAUCCGGAAGAACACCGGUGGCGAAGGGCGGUCUGCUGGGGUCGAAC
rnacentral:rRNA from 1 species